GUCUCAAAAAGAAAAAAAAAAAACAUUACAGGUAGAUAGGACAGGAGGUAGAUACCCUAAUUUACAAAUGAGACUUCCCUGAAAUCACAGGAGUUUAUAAGCUGUGGGGCCACAUUUAAAAAACUAGGCUAUAUAAGUUGAGCCAGAAUACAUUCUUGGUAAUCUCUGCUGCCUGUAAAGCAAGGCAGGUCUGUAUCUUUUCCUUCCUUCCUUUCUCUUUUUCUUUUUUGCAGCGAUAGCAUUAGAACCCAGGGCCUUGCACAUAUUAGGCAAGCACUCUACUAUGCAGCCAAAUCCCCAGGCCCUAACCUGUUAAACUGAACAGACCUCAGCGAUUAAACAGUUACACUAUCCAUGUGCAGAGGGGAGGCAGGGGAGGAGUUACGAGCUACUUCCCUGUACUUCACACCUUCCACUCCACGUGCCUGUCAUUCUCCAUCCCACCCUCCCUCGCAGCUCAGGGUGGGCAGCAUGACACGGAAGAAGGCACCUGCCAAGAGACUUCCGGCGAGAACUUCUCAACAGAGACCAGAACCUGCCCCCCUCCUGAAUUCUGACGCCAAAGCAGAAAGAGAAGGUGAUUCCUCUUGCAGAUAAAUUCCUGGAGGCAAGGACAACAUCUUACACAAUAUUCCACAAAACGCCCUGCACAGGGCCUCACAGCGGGUGCCCAGCUAUGUUAAAGAAGAUGUCACUAUACCUGGCCCUCAGCCCCAUAGAAUUCAACAUGUCUCAGGAAUUCCGCCCUCCCUCCUGUCCUGCCUCACCCCCACACACCCCAAUUAAACAUCCUCAGUCCUGCUACUUUGUGGCCUCUUUCUUUCAACAGUAUCUCAGUGUAAGAUCUGUGACGAUGGGGAAUUAGCAGAGAAAAGAUGAACCAA